AUACGUAGGGGGCGAGCGUUGUCCGGAAUGAUUGGGCGUAAAGGGCGCGUAGGCGGCGCGGUAAGUCUGGAGUGAAAGUCCUGCUUUCAAGGUGGGAAUUGCUUUGGAUACUGCCGCGCUUGAGUGCAGGAGAGGUUAUCGGAAUUCCCGGUGUAGCGGUGAAAUGCGUAGAGAUCGGGAGGAACACCAGUGGCGAAGGCGGCUUACUGGACUGUAACUGACGCUGAGGCGCGAAAGUGUGUGGAGCAAACAGGAUUAGAUACCCUGGUAGUCCACACUGUAAACGAUGAAUGCUAGGUGUAGGGGGUAUCGACCCCUUCUGUGCCGCAGUCAACACAAUAAGCAUUCCGCCUGGGGAGUACGGCCGCAAGGUUGAAACUCAAAGGAAUUGACGUGG
rnacentral:rRNA from 1 species